GUGCAGCUAAUUUCUUCGGCAAGACGGAGAUGCAUCUGCUCCGACCGACUAUGCAGACUCUCAGUUCUUCUGUAAUGAUCUCUCGCGCUCUUUCUCGUCGGCGAUUGUUGAAAUAUUGAGUUUGAAUGAAGCACCGAAGCUUUAAAAGUUACGAAUAAUCUUCAUAUCAGAGUAAUAUCCUCAAUUUUUUUUAAUGUAGUUCCAGAUACCGGCCUUGCAAGCUGCCUAGAGGAGUUUUAAUUGAUGCUCCACUAGCACUCUGGCAGCGCUUGAUGAAUUGUAAAUUGCUUUGAUUAAUGCCUCGACGUUAUUUAAUUACUAUUCGUAUUAUCAUUUUAUUGAUUCCUUAGCCUGCGUUACAUAAGUUACAUUUAAUGCAGUAGCUCGUGUAUAACAGUAGGCAUCUUUAUUGUUUUCCUGGGCAUGCGUAAUUUUUCUUACACGGUUAACUUCCUUCUUACCUAUACGGCAACGCAUGCAUAGAUUGUUGUACAAACGAUUCCUUAUAUUUUCUCCUUAAUCAGAUAAGCUAAGCUAAGGAUUUCCGCAAACAGCAAGUCUGCCAUCAUCCUCUCAAAAGCUGCAUUCAGCAGGCCGUACUUCAUCAUAUUAUUAUUUGUUUGAUGUAGUUAUCUCUGUUAUAUCCCUCUUUAAUUGAAAAUUCAUUCAAGUACUUUCCACUCGAGUCAGACUACCGUACCAUUGUUACGUGGAUUAAUUCAUUUCUGGUAUUUUAUGCAGAUGAACUUGUUUCUGGUAUUAAUGGCCCGGGGAGGAUUGUAAUAAGAUCUGCAUCAACACCUCUUAGGAAGAGUCAGUAGCUGUAUCCUAGGAUAUCUGUGAUAAUGAGAUAGGUUGCUAUCGUUGAAUCUGAAAGCGAAUGUCACUACCAGGAAGGCAAUUUCCCUACCUUCGACAUUAAGCAUGGCAUUUACUGGAAACGUUGUGGAUUGACUUUGGACUACGCUAUCAAUAAAAAAAAAGCCACACAUUAUUGAAGUGGGAAUACAAUCUUUUUGUAUUCCACUACUAUCAUAAAGAACCCAAGCUUGUUCGUCCACACACGCUACCUAUACGUGCAUGCUCAACCGUUUGUGACCCAACCGACUUAACUCUACACUAGGCCAACUCAUUCGGCUCGAUCUUGCCUCUACUCAAGGCCGAGGUCUUUCACUAUAAUGUCGCAUCUCAAAUUAUAUUGAUUUCCAGUUAACAUGUCCCACACAUCUUGACAUCAUCUCAAGUCGUGGGAUGUCAUUUGCCAUCGUAGCUUGCUCAGUCAUGCCCAUCAAGAAUGGGCCCAUGCGUUAUUCAUAAUAUCGAGAAAUCUCGAACAUCCAUCCAAAUUCUAUCGAGACAUUGGACCCUCUUAUAUCCAUGCUAUAUCAUUUACAAAUUCUGUACCGGAUAGCGGGUGUAUGGUCCAACCUUCGACACAUGGGUCGGGGCGCAAUGUUGGCACACCUGUGUCGUUCAACACUAUCCUUGAAAAAUCUAUUUCAAAGGAAGUCGUUCGAGACACUUGUUUUGCAACACUCCCUCUCACUGUGACACACGUAUGCCUCCCCUCAAGUUACAUUUUGAAGUAUUUUUGGUAUGACAGGUAUAUAUAUGAUUUUGGCGAACGAUUAUACAAUGUCAUGGAACUUUGUUCGAUGCUUGAUUGACACCAAAUUUGGUGAGCUUUCAUAUUUUAUAUGGACGGAUUUGACUGUAGAACCGCAUGUCUAAAUUAUCUCAAGAAUCCUUACUUUUGAGGUUAAGGCUCGAGGCUUUACGUGGCCUUUCAUCAAGCCUAUCUUUGACACACUUGUCUACAUUUGUCACCAUGUUGCUUAUGCCUCAUCUUCUCUUCAAUACUCACUUUAUAUGGUGUGUUGGAUGAUGCACCGUCCUCCUUGGUCGCAUCAUGGCACUCGUCUAUUUUGGCCGGAUGGGGGUGUCACUUGAGUGUCGCCGCUUUGCUUGUCUCAACGUGAGGGUCACAAUCUACUCUUUUCAUAGUAUGAUUGUGACACUCGACAUCAUUAGGAAAAAUUCCCUAGUUAGAGCUCAGUACAUAGACAUGUAUGGACUACGGUUAUCGUUGUAGAGCAAAGGAGCUCCCCCAGACUUAUGAGUACUCCCCUAGGGCUUUUCCAUGGAGCACGACUUGAGGCGCAAUUCGCGCAAGGUUGACAAAGGGCCUAGACAUACAUAAAACAUUCGAGCUAAGAGAAUUAGAAAUCCCUUUGAAGUUAUGAACCCUAGGUGGGUUAGAGUACUCAUUAGACAAGGUAUAUUCAGGGUUAGUUACGCAGAAACUUGCAAAGGUCAACAUAGACAUUAAAUCACAAUUUUGGUUAUCUCUAGGAGCAUGUAUAAGAAUAAGUUUGACAAGAACCUACAAGUAAACUACUUGCUAAGUAUUUUUAUACUCAUUCCAUGUUAUUCUAUUUUUUGAGAUUAAGCGUAGG